rnacentral:lncRNA from 1 species
CACUACCAGAAUAUGCCAUAUGCAUCACUAAGUUAAUAUCAUAUCAAUCACUAUAGCAAGCUUUAUAGAUAGCACAACAAACUCACUAUAGUUUUUGAAAUACUUUAUUGACCUAGUAUGAGCGAAAUAUCAUUAGCUUCAUUAUGCACUAAGAUAGUAUUAAAUCAGUGUCCAAGCAAGUCUUGUGGAUAGUACAGCAAGUCUACUAUGGUUCUUGACAUAACACUGGCUU